rnacentral:rRNA from 1 species
UAUCAUUCUAUGAUGAUAGUGAUGUAAAAUAAGGUGAUUCAUAGUAACCGAACGGAUCGCAUUAUAAUUAUCAUUAUUUGAUGAUUGGCGAUAGAUCAUUCAAGUUUCUGACCUAUCAGCUUUCGACGGUAGUGUAUUGGACUACCGUGGCAGUGACGGGUAACGGGGAAUUAGGGUUCGAUUCCGGAGAGGGAGCCUGAGAAACGGCUACCACAUCUAAGGAAGGCAGCAGGCGCGCAAAUUACCCAAUCCUGACUCAGGGAGGUAGUGACAAGAAAUAACAACACUGGAAAUUUGAUUUCUAGUGAUUGGAAUGAUGGGAAUCCAAACCCCUUUCAGAGUAACAAUUGGAGGGCAAGUCUGGUGCCAGCAGCCGCGGUAAUUCCAGCUCCAAUAGCGUAUAUUAAAGUUGUUGCAGUUAAAAAGCUCGUAGUUGGAUGUCUGUUGGAAGCAAUCAUCAGUCCGCCCUAUUUGAUUAGGGUGUGAAUAUGAUGAAUUCCGGCAUAAUUGUCUCCCUAUUAUCAAUAUAUAAGAUGAUCAUUAUUAGAUUCAUUUCUAAUAAUGCGUCUACUAUAUUAUUGGUAGUAUGGGAGAAAUGUUACUUUGAGAAAAUUAGAGUGUUUGAAGCAGGCUUUUGUUGCCUUGAAUACUGCAGCAUGGAAUAACAAUAUAGGAUUUCGGUUCUAUUUUGUUG